AUUGAACGCUGGCGGCAGGCUUAACAAAUGCAAGUCGAGCGGGCGCGGUUGCUUCGGUAACUGAGCUAGCGGCGGACGGGUGAGUAAUGCUUAGGAAUCUGCCUAUUAGUGGGGGACAACAUUCCGAAAGGAAUGCUAAUACCGCAUACGCCCUACGGGGGAAAGCAGUGGAUCCUCGGACCUCGCGCUAAUAGAUGAGCCUAAGUCAGAUUAGCUAGUUGGUGGGGUAAAGGUCUACCAAGGCGACGAUCUGUAGCUGGGCUGAGAGGAUGAUCCGCCACACUGGGACUGAGGCACGGCCCAAACUCCUACGGGAGGCAGCAGUGGGGAAUAUUGGACAAUGGGCGCAAGCCUGAUCCAGCCAUGCCGCGUGUGUGAAGAAGGCCUUUUGGUUGUAAAGCACUUUAAGCGAGGAGGAGGCUACUUGGAUUAAUACUCUAGGAUAGUGGACGUUACUCGCAGAAUAAGCACCGGCUAACUCUGUGCCAGCCGCCGCCGUAAGAC
rnacentral:rRNA from 1 species